GUGGGGAAUUUUGGACAAUGGGCGCAAGCCUGAUCCAGCAAUGCCGCGUGCAGGAAGAAGGCCUUCGGGUUGUAAACUGCUUUUGUACGGAACGAAACGGUCCGGGUUAAUACCCUGGGCUAAUGACGGUACCGUAAGAAUAAGCACCGGCUAACUACGUGCCAGCAGCCGCGGUAAUACGUAGGGUGCAAGCGUUAAUCGGAAUUACUGGGCGUAAAGCGUGCGCAGGCGGUUUUGUAAGACAGGCGUGAAAUCCCCGGGCUCAACCUGGGAAUUGCGCUUGUGACUGCAAGGGUGGAGUGCGGCAGAGGGGGAUGGAAUUCCGCGUGUAGCAGUGAAAUGCGUAGAUAUGCGGAGGAACACCGAUGGCGAAGGCAAUCCCCUGGGCCUGCACUGACGCUCAUGCACGAAAGCGUGGGGAGCAAACAGGAUUAGAAACCCGUGUAGUCC
rnacentral:rRNA from 1 species